CCAGAAGGUGGCUCUGAGCAAGUCUUCACAUUUGCCAUUUGAUUAAUUAAAGAUAAAUGGCGGAGACUUUUCCCUAAAUGGGUUACUUGAUUUAAGAGCUGCUGGCUAAUUUUGGUCGGAUAAUUUAAUAGAAGAGGGAAGAGGAAAGGAAAGAAAGGGGCUUGAAGAAAGAGGAAGAGAAAAGAAACACAAGGAUGGAGAACAAGGAGAGACCAUUUGGAAUGCAACUGAAGAAAUGGCUGGUGCAAUUCAGCAAGGAAGGCAGAAGCUAUGAAUUUGUGCUAUUGUCUGUGGGCUCCUUUCAGGUCACUAUAAGGUCUCAAACAGUAGCUGCCACUUCUAGCUGGGAGAGAAAUGAGAGCUCUGCUCAUGGUGAUCCAGUAUCUCCAGAAUCCAUCACCACUGCUGACCUCCCACUCCAUGUCUCCAAGUGCUCUGCUAUACCUGCCACCAGCAGCUGCCACCUCCAGACUUUGGAAGGUUAUAAUAAAACCUCUGUUCUACGAUCUGCCUUCUGCUUCAACAUCCUCACUCCCCACAAACAAUUCUAAUAAACAG
rnacentral:lncRNA from 1 species